GAUACAUGGAGGAAGUGCAGUUGAAUAAAAAUUAUCUACAUUGUGCCCAUUUUAACAGCCUUGUUUACGUUAGCUUGCUAGCCAGCUACUAGCAAACCGGUUGACUGAAGCAAACUUGUGUAAAGUUAAACGUAGGUCUAAGUGUUCAAAUACUCUUAUGAAACGGCUAUAUUGGUCUGAAUUUGGCUCGUGGUACACUUUUACACGGAUUGGUGAUGCUCUCAACAGGUUUGGCACCAACUGUGUUUUUAACGGCACAAAUCCUCAAGCGGUGGCAUCAUGUUUUCCUCACGUUAACGAAAUCCAGGCUAAUUAUUUAUUAGCAAUUAAUGGAUGGCCAUGAACUGCGCCCUCGUCCCAUAUGCUGUCCAUCAUUGGUGAAUGAAUGAAGUAGCUGGGCUCAUAGUUUGAUACAGAUGUCCGUGGUUGGGCUACAAAUAUCUGAAUUUGUUCUUAAUCUUGUGCAACAGUAAACAGGUGGAAUUACCUCUGGGUCGGACAGGGCUAGCCAGCUGUAAUCCACCCUGCUACAGUGAUGCCCGCCUGCCUCCCGGCUUUUACGACCAAGAAUCGGAGCGCUGAUGUGAUGUUUCCCCGUCGACUGAUGAGGGAAGGAAGAGAAGGCAGCCACGACACGCGAUUGUUCAACAUGACAGUGAGACAGAAAAAUAAUGUCAAGAUAAAUAAAAAAUCAUGAUGAGUGAA